UACGAAGGGGGCUAGCGUUGUUCGGAAUUACUGGGCGUAAAGCGCACGUAGGCGGGUCGUUAAGUCAGGGGUGAAAUCCCGGAGCUCAACUCCGGAACUGCCUUUGAUACUGGCGAUCUUGAGAUCGGAAGAGGUGAGUGGAAUUCCCAGUGUAGAGGUGAAAUUCGUAGAUAUUGGGAAGAACACCGUGGGCGAAGGCG
rnacentral:rRNA from 1 species